rnacentral:rRNA from 1 species
UACGGGGGGGGCAAGCGUUGUUCGGAAUUACUGGGCGUAAAGCGCGUGUAGGCGGCCCUGCAAGUCGGGUGUGAAAUCCCACGGCUCAACCGUGGAAGUGCACUCGAAACUGCAGGGCUAGAGUCCUGGAGAGGAAGGUGGAAUGCUUGGUGUAGAGGUGAAAUUCGUAGAUAUCAAGCGGAACACCGGUGGCGAAGGCGGCUUCCUGGACCGACACUGACGCUGAGGCGCGAAAGCUAGGGGAGCAAACGGG